rnacentral:rRNA from 1 species
AUUGAACGCUGGCGGCAGGCCUAACACAUGCCAGUCGAACGGUAACAGGGAUCAGCUUGCUGAUUCGCUGACGAGUGGCGGACGGGUGAGUAAUGUCUGGGAAACUGCCUGAUGGAGGGGGAUAACUACUGGAAACGGUAGCUAAUACCGCAUAACGUCGCAAGACCAAAGAGGGGGACCUUCGGGCCUCUUGCCAUCGGAUGUGCCCAGAUGGGAUUAGCUAGUAGGUGGGGUAACGGCUCACCUAGGCGACGAUCCCUAGCUGGUCUGAGAGGAUGACCAGCCACACUGGAACUGAGACACGGUCCAGACUCCUACGGGAGGCAGCAGUGGGGAAUAUUGCACAAUGGGCGCAAGCCUGAUGCAGCCAUGCCGCGUGUAUGAAGAAGGCCUUCGGGUUGUAAAGUACUUUCAGCGGGGAGGAAGGGAGUAAAGUUAAUACCUUUGCUCAUUGACGUUACCCGCAGAAGAAGCAUCGGCUAACUCCGUG